rnacentral:rRNA from 1 species
UCCUACGGGGAGGCAGCAGUGGGGAAUAUUGCACAAUGGGGGAAACCCUGAUGCAGCCAUGCCGCGUGUGUGAAGAAGGCCUUCGGGUUGUAAAGCACUUUCAGUAGGGAGGAAGGUAGUGUAGUUAACACCUGCAUUAUUUGACGUUACCUACAGAAGAAGCACCGGCUAACUCCGUGCCAGCAGCCGCGGUAAUACGGAGGGUGCGAGCGUUAAUCGGAAUUACUGGGCGUAAAGCGCAUGCAGGCGGCCUGUUAAGUCAGAUGUGAAAGCCCCGGGGCUUAACCUCGGAAUUGCAUUUGAAACUGGCAGGCUAGAGUCUUGUAGAGGGGGGUAGGAAUUUCAGGUGUAGCGGUGAAAUGCGUAGAGAUCUGAAGGAAUACCAGUGGCGAAGGCGGCCCCCCUGGACAAAGACUGACGCUCAGAUGCGAAAGCGUGGGGAGCAAACAGGAUUAGAUACCCUGGUAG